UUAGGUCAUUUUGAAGCCUAACUCGUUUGUUUUAAGAUUUUCAAAGAGCCAAACUGCACCAGUUUUUUCUCGUUAUCCUACUGUGGACUUCUCAACUCAUUUCAUACUGGAUUUGGCAAAAACACUCUCAGUUCAGCUGCUGUCUUCAAAUUGGAAUGCUGUGACAAGACACCUUGUUGCUUUUUCUGCUUUGUCCUGCACAGAGGCUGCUGUCAUGUGGGUCUUGUGAUUGUGAUGGUUAUUGGUUUGUCUUUUCAUCCACAGCAGAGCUCAAAAUGAGCACAGCUUCCCCACAGAGCGAUUGCUAUGAGCAAUGUAGCAGUUCAUCUGCUUCAAGAUCUUCUUCCCACUACCAGAGACUACUGUGAUACAAUGACUAGAACAUAAGACAGAAUAUCAGCAUUUGAGAGAUGGGGUUCCAAUGUUAAGAAGAGGGUAUCUGAAGUGGAGGCUAAGUUGUGAUUUGGCUGCAAACAAUAAGAAAAAUUCUGAGUAUUCUUAUCAGGAUCCUUUGUGUUGUGAAAAGCAGAGGAAUCUUGACUUUAUGGAGUGAAGACUUAAAGAAAUUAUCAAGAUGAUCUUCAUUUUCUCCUCAGUUUGACUGAACUUUGGACAGCUUUUCCUGAACACAGACUCCUUUGAUCUCUUUUCCAAGCAAUCUUUAGAAUGUCAAGUGGCCUCUCUUCAACCAGAAUGACAAGAGCUGAAGAAAUGUGUCAUCAUGAGGAUGACAUAAUCUAUGCAACAUACUGAGACUGGAAACCCAAAAUGAUGGUAACUGAGAGUGGUGCUAAGGCCCUAAGUUUUGGUCAUACUGUCACCUACCUGCCCAAAAGGGGGAAUUUUUACUACAAAAUUACAGGAGUCCAUUGUUUUGGACUGAGCUCAUAUGCUAGGCUCCAACAGACCAGACCAAACUAAAAUAGAGCUGCUCAUGUUAAAUGUGCCAUAAUCAAACUAAUACUUUAAGGUAACACAUAAGUCCUAGAACAGACAAGAAUUUACUUUCCUCCUGUAAACAGGAUACAUUGGCACAAGGAGGUACCCUCUACUGAGUCCUUGUUCUCACCUUGCAAAACCUGCUAUUGUACUUUUUCCCGGUAGGUUUUAAGACCAAUGGUGAUAGUGACAUCAGUGACUAAAGUUUUGGUCAAUCUCUCAAAGUGAAAAAAAAUUACCAAAAGGGGGAAAUUGUUAAAUGAAGUUUAACCUAAAGCCACCUUCUUGCAUAACUAAGGUUCAGCCUAAAGGCUUUCUGUACAUUGUGAACUAUAACAAGUGGAAGUGUAAGCAGACCAUAGCCUACACUUGUGCCAAUCACUAAGUUUUGAUCAAUCAAAAGUACCCAACUGUUCCAACUCUUCAAAUAAGGCAAAUGCCAAGCUGUAACCAACCCAGCUGUUUUUGUACCUUGCUCUCAUUUUCUAUAGGUCACUUUUCUUUUCCUGUCCAUAAAUCUUCCAUCAUGUGGCUGCACUGGAGUCUCUGAGCCUUCUCUGGCUCAGAUGGCUGCCUGAUUCAUUGAUCAUUCAUUGCUCAAUUAAACUCCUUUAAAUUUAGGCCAAAGUUUUUCUUUUAUCACUAUCAAUACUAUACUCUGGAGAUAAAAACAAGAUAAUAUUAAAAUCCAGAUUUGACAACAAUUUUAAGUAGAAACUCCUUUUUAAACAGGACAUAGUGUUUAAAGCAGUAUGUUCUUUACUCCGGAUGUUAAGUAACCUUUUCUCUUAAAAGUGUCUCUUUUGGAGAAAUUUAAUGUCUGAUUUUUUUUUUUCUGAGAUUGAGGUACAUUAAUUCAAAAACUCUUAAUCUAGCCUGAAGUAAACAAAAUAAAUAGCUAGGAACAGAAGAUGUAUGCUGUUUGUUAAACUAUAUAAACUCAUGUGUAUCACAAUAUGAUGUUUCACUAACAAAUAAUGAAACUGUGCUUAUCACAUAUAUAUAUAUAUAUAUAUAUAUAUAUAUAUAUAUAUAUAUACACACACAUACAUAUACAUAUUUCAGCAGACAAAAAUAAAUUUCCCAAAUAGAAUAAGCUGCUUGGUUUGGAGCAUUGUUGCUAUUUAUGCUGCAAAAUUGCUUCUUCUCAAAAUUAUAAUUGUGAAAUUUCCUAAACGAUGUACUAUAUUAUUACCUUUUAUAAUAGUUUAAAAAUAAGGUUCCUCAAUGGUACAACUUCUCUGAAACAAAUAAAUUUGGCCUCUAUAAUAGUCUUUGGAGAGGUUCUACAUUCUAUAUUGCAAAAAUUCAAAGAUCAGCUGCUAACAUAAAUAAAUUCUGUAAAUCAUUCAGAAAACUUUUGCUAGUAGGAUUAACAGAAGACUAGAAAUAUGUAUUUCAGGAUAUGCAAAGAUUAGACCAAACUCUCAGUCUCAGGAAGGUGACAGUAAAACUCUGCUCACAGUUAGAAGUUUAAAGACUACUAAUCCUGAUAUGUGAGGUGUCAUCCUAGUGAAUGAAAAGUUCCAGACUGAAAGGACAAAGCCCAAUAAAUAACUUAGCACUUCACAUGAAGGGGCAUCAGAUGUUAGCAAAAUUAUUGAUCUUUACAGAGUUGGGUGGGUAGAGACAAAUAGAAUACCUCGAGGGAAGUGACUGUGUUGUGUUUUAAGGAAAGAGAAGAAAGAAUGUGUCAUAGAUAGAAAAAGGCAUGUGUAUAUAUUGCACUGUGCAUGAAAGGGAAGCUUGGAUGUGCUGUGGGAUCAUGUGUUUUAAUAAGACAAGUUGGGUGAGCUUGUCUGUGAGGAUGUCUGUGCACAUCAAAGAGGAAGACUGGAAGCAUCAGUGGCUAGAAUUUUAAUAAAAUAAUAAUAAAAUAAAAUCACCAGAUCAUUAGCUGAGUUUGCCUGCUGGCUACAGAGUAGGUAGCUUCUAUUUCAUUGGAACUGAUUUUGGGAAAUCAAAGGUUUUCAACUAAUACUGUUGUAUUUAAAUGUGUGCCCUUAUGUUUCCUUUAUAAACACCCAUUCAAAUUACAAACAAAAGCUAAUUAAUGAAUAUUCUAAGGUAUCCAGAAUUUAAAAAAGUGUAUUCUACAACUAAUAGAAAGUAAAUGGCACAGAUGAUUAGCCCAUCAAUCUUGGAACUUACUCCAAAUAAUGUGUAAAUUUGAAACUAUUAAAAUGCUUGUGUUAGAAGCAGAUUGUAUUUAUACAAAUAAAGAAGAUUCUGGAAAUUCAGUUAAGUUGCCUCAAAUAUAAAUAUAUAUUUUUCAAACUGUAACUAUAAUAAAAUUCUGGUUAAUAGGAUGAACUGACCUGAUGUAGAAGGACAACCCUACUCAUCACAUGUAUAUAUACACACACCCCCCACCAUGUACAUAUAUGUCAGGUAUGAUGUAAUCCUUUUAAAUUCCACAGUUGCCUUUUCAAAUAAAAAAGGUUGAACAAUUUUCAGAAACUGAAACAAAAAAAGUAGAAUAUUUGUUGAAUGUGAGCCAAAGUAGCAAACAUACAAGGCUAUAAGAACCAGUAAAAUCUCUUAGAGAUAGAGGUUUUAAUGAUCAAACAGAAAGAAUGAAUAAUGCCUUGUACAAUAUUGGAAACAGAUACAAUCCCUGGAUAAGUCAGGGCUCUACUGAUUACCUCAUCUUGGAAGAGCAACCAGAGCAACUGUGCCUACAGGUGUUGGGAAGCUGUAGAAGGGUAGCUAUCUAAGCAGGGCUAGACAAGGAAGAAAUGCUAUCAAGGAGGUUUCUGAACCUCAAGCUUGACUCAUUUUGCUGAAGGGCCUAACUAAUACAAUGCUAGCCCUACGGUCCUGAAACACUGAACCAAGAAAUUGAUAUAAAGCUGGUUCUGAACAGUUGAAAUUCAGAGGGCUCUCACAAAAGCAGCUUGAAAUAUAGCCUAGAUUUGGGGAAUGCUUAUAGAAAGUAAUUCUCACUGAAAAUGAAUUUACAAUCAGAAGUUAUAAAAUACAUAAGAUUAAAACUAGAGAACUGACAUGCUAUGAGCAUGAAACAGAGAAAAAUAUGAAAUAAUUUCUUGAAAAAUUCAAUGAGAUUUAAAAUAAUUCUGGCAAUCUGGUACGCUCAGUGUCUGGAUAAACUAUUCCUGGACAGAACAUCUAACAAUCUGGAUAGUGUAUUUAAUGUGUCUUUUUAAAUGUAUAAUUGAACUGAUAGGAAGUAAGACACAAACUUCAGAGGUCAAGAAAUGAUGACAAAUAUAACCUGAAAAGUUGAGAAAGGACUGAAACUGACAUUCACUCAUCUGCUCAUCCAUGGUAAUGUGGAGUUUUUGUUUUCAUAUUAAAUAACUAAAUCACAUUAUUUAAGUACAAGAAGACUGACUUUUUGAUGUCACAAUAAAUACUAUAUAAUAAAAGAAAAGACAAACCUCUUAAUUUUACCUUGGUGAAGAAGCAGCAGAUUUUGAACCUGUUGAGGGAGAUUUUACAGAUUUGAGGUUCAGUUCUGCCACUUAAAAAUAGUCAAAGCAUAACAUACAUUUAGGGUAUGGUUUAAGUGAAUGCUUACAUAUCUAUACCUGCUACUCACAUUAAUACUAUUUUAGAGCACAUCAAGAUGGCUGUUACAUAUAUACCCACUAUUCAAUAACCAACCAGGAAAACUGUUAUCAUGACUUGUAUCAUCCUAUAUUUACAUUUCCUGUUAUUUCACUUUGUAAAAAUGAAAUCUUUUGUAUCUGACUUCAGUUAACACAAUGUCUGUGAGAUGCACCCACAUUAGGUGUAGCAGUACUUUACUCUUUUUGCUGUAAAAUAUUUCACUAUAUGAUUAUACCACAAUUUGUUUAUAAUAUCUGCUCUUUAAGUGUAUUUGGGUUGCUGCCACUUUUUGACAAUUAAAAACAGGGCUGCUGUAAAAAUUCUUGCACAUGUAGCUCAGUGAAUGCGUUUACACAUUCUAUUAGUUAUAUGCCUAAGAAUUAAAUAGACAUGUCAUAGGGUAUAAUAUAUUAAGCUUUAGCAGACACUGAUAAAUAGUAUUUCAAAAUCAUUUCUUCUCAUAAGCAGUGUAUGGAGUUCCAGUUUCUCCACACCUUGGCCAAUAUUUGAUAAUGUAAGGCUCUUUAAUUUUGCCACCCUAGUGGGUAUGAAGUACAUUGUGCAUUGUGGUUUUAAGUUUUCCUAAUGAAGGAUACAGUAUAACACAUUUCAAAUGCUUAUUGACCAUUUGUGUAUUCUCUUUUGGGAACAACCUUAUUAAAAUGUUUUAAGUGGUUUUUCUUUUUUCCUCCUUAGUGUCUGAAAUUUACUGAUUGCAUUGUAGAAGGAAAUUACAUAUUUUGGAUACAAAUUUUUUUGGUUUCAUGUAUAUACAUUUCUUCCACUCAUGAAUGGCAUUUUUACAUUCUUCAUGGAAUCUUUUGAUAAACAGAAGUGUUUUAUUCUAAUGAAGUUAUACUUAUUAAUAUUUUCUUUAUAGUUAGGACUUUCUUUACCUAUUUAAGAAAAAGUUUAUGGUGUAACAAGAUAAACUGAAUAAGCUACAAAACUAUGAUGCUUUAUUUUUUUAAACCCAUCAGAGAACUUAUGAUGAAUAGAAAUCUAGGUGAAUUAUAUUUCAAUGAGGCAGGAGCCUGUCCUUGGAGAGAAGAACCCACAAUUGCUUUUGUUUUUCCACAUACAGUGAAAAGAGAGUGAACCUGUCAUAGAAUAGCAUAAGAAAAACCCAGAAUAACUUUUAAAGAAUUGUAAUGGCUGCGUAUGCUCUGGUGUGACUACCAGUUUUUCAAGGAAUCUCAGUAUCUGCCUUUCCUCCAGUUGUUUCACACAAAGCCUUCGCUGAGUGCAUUUUAGUAAUGCAUUUUAUAAUGUGGAAAGAACAAUGUGACUGACAGAGUACUCCUCAGAAGCAUGGGACCUUCAGUUACUCAGCCGCCUAAAAACAGAACAUAGGAAAUGAAAAAGUAUUCUCUCAGGUACACAAGGUUAGUUGGUACAUGGAAGUAGUGACCUCAAGAUUGGAGGCAGGGCAAGAGGGUUGGAGAAAAUCCUCUAGGUGACAAAGCCUUCACUGAGCAUGUUGUCACCACACUGCUGCUGAAGGACAGGGGCAGGUAAAAGGGUUCUGAAAGAUUCCCUGAAGGUACAGAAGAGUUUCACCAAAUGCAUACAAAUGCAUGGAGGCUGGUAGGAGGGUAGGGCAGUGGAGAGAAAGUUCCACAUUGCACAGCAGAUCUUUAUUUAGUUCAAAGUAGCGGCUCUCUGUGGGCUAGGAUUAAUGCAGUAGGGUGGAGAAAGACCCCUCAAAGGUGAAAAGCCAAGGGCAGGGCUCAAAAGAAAAGAGAACUUCAUAGUCAUUUGGAAGUCUGGAUAUCAGACUAUAAGGCAGAAGUAGAUCUCCCACAGUUCAGAAAUUUACUUACUGAACUGUAAAACAAAGAGAUUUCUAGAGUGUGACCAAGACUCAGAUCCCAAGCCAUUCUGAAAUAAAUAUUCUUAUCUCAAAGUCAAAAAUUUUAAACAAGUGGUAAAAUGAGAGUCCUGUCAGACAUGCAUGUAACUAGAUCUGCAACAGAGCCUGAAACCAACUUAACCAUAAAUUAUAUUGAUUCUUUCCACCACCCUCAUAGCAACCUGAUAGCUGAAGAAAUAUUUCCUUUUUGGGUGCAAAUGUUAUUUAUUUUAAUACUUAUAUUUCUUAAACAUGUAAUGUUAAUAUGUGGUAAAAAAUAUAAGAUAUGUAGUGAAGCAAGAGCUUAUGAACCAUAAGCAAUAGGGGUAAAACAGUCAAUCGUAGCUGACCCAUAUUUAUCUCAUUUAUUAGAAUUAGAAAACCUAGACUUUAAAAUAACUAUCGUUAAUAUGUUAAAUUGAUCUAGUAGAAAGGUAGACAAAAAUGCAUGAACAAACUGGGAAUUUUAACAGAAAAACAAAGUAAGAAAAUAAUCAAAAUAACAUAACAGAAAAAGAGUAUUAACAAUGAAAAACGUAUUUUAUGGACUUAACAAUGAAUCAAACACAGUGAGGGAACGUGAACACAGGUCAAAACUAAAGCUUAAGGAGAAAAUAUCUAUAUCUAUAUCUAUAUCUAUAUCUAUAUCUAUAUCUAUAAUCAUCCAUCUGUCUACAUAAUCAAAUGUUCUAGGUAGAUAACAAUAUGAGUUAGUAUCAAAUAUUCUAACAUAUUUGUAACUAAAUUUCUAGAAAUAGGUAAAGAAAAGGAGGAGUGGGAAGAAAUUUUUGAACAGAUAGUGGCUGGAAAUUUUUCAGAAUUAAUGAAAGAUGGAAAUCCACAGGUGUAAGGAGCUUAGUAAACUGCAAGCAAGGUUAAACACAUAAACAUGCGCGUGCACACACACACACACACACACACCCCUAAACGCCUCAUAAUAACCAAACAUCUGCAAACUAAAGAUAUUCUUAGGUAAACCUACCUAGCUAGCUUGUGUACUCAUGUGGUCUUAAAACUAAACUUUGACCUGGAUGGCCCUGUUGAGGAGGGUAUCGACCAGGGAGAUUACCCUCUAAUGGUUGUUUGCUUUGGGCAUGGGAAUCUGUCUUUUAAUCUUCAACCUCUAGUGGUUUGACUCAGGCCUUUGUCAAUUAAACUUUACUAAAUAAAUGCCAGUCUCACUGGCUGGUGGUGGCCUAUAGUCACAACUGUUUACAACACUCUCCAGGGUGCCUGUAAGCCAUGCUGACACACUCAGUCAAACUGGUAAAGCAUAAUAUCUGUGUGUCAAUGUAUUUUAUUUAUCUGUUGCUGAGUCAAGGUCUACAAGACAGACACCCAUAGAUGGUGACCCCAUCAGUGGUGCCCAACAUGGGGUGAUCCCAACAAUAAAAUAUGGCUGACAAUGAAGGCUGGAAGAUAGGUAGCAUCUUUAAAGUCACCUUAAAGUCACUCAAAAAAAAAAA